UCAAAAUGUAGCUUAAGACAAAGCAUUCUGUUUACACCUGAAAUAUGUUUAUUUAAAUAAACCAUUUUGAC
rnacentral:tRNA from 1 species